UCAGACGAUACAGCUGGCGUCUCUGCUUUGUUGCUUUGCUCAAUAGAGUCUAACAUUUGACAUCUGGAAAAAUAAUCUUCGCUGUCGAAAUCUGAAAUGUUUUGUAAUCAUUUGGCAACCGACUGCUGAGGGGAGUAAAUGCAGUCAACCUGUUGUGCUGCCGGCAGAGAGAGCUGGUAGGAGCCGCUGUUUUAGGAGCCUGUGACUCAUCUGACUACAGCUCCAUUCAGGUACAGCACUGCGCAAUAUAACUGCAUGAGCAGUCUUUUCACAAACAUUCUGCUGCUUUUUUGUAGGAAACAAUGGAGAAAAUGACCAAAAUAGGGGAGGUGAUCAGAUCUAAUCUUGAGCUACAGAGCUUUUACAGAAAGAAGUGUGCUGUGUUUCUGUGCCUUUAUAAUCACCAGAAGGAAUACGUAAAACUGAUGCAUGAUUGAUGUUUGGAGGAAUCACCAGUUAGACAUUAGUGAGCUAACGCCUUGUC